CUCAUAGAUCUACUUCAAGAUUGUGUUGAUUUGUGACUAACUCGACUCUAUUCUAACAACUUUGGAAUGUGUACGUCAAGCAAAGACUAUCGGAACCAAAGAGUGAAAGAAUGAUGACAUCACUAUGAUCACUUCUUGCUAGAUCUGUCCAAGAGUCAAUGAGUACAGGUGGACCAUGUUGGAAAAUAACUUUCAGUCAAGUUGAGACAAGAGCUCCAUUGAUGUUAUUGUUCUUUUUUAUUGCAUUGAAUUGAUCAAACUGAACAUGUUCUAGAGAUACUGGAGAAAAGAUUUGACUGCAGUACAGACUCAUUUUCAAUUGAAAGCAAUUAAAAGAAGAAGAGAUAAAUACAAUCAGGAUUGGGUAUGAAGCAAAUUUCCCAAUGGCAAUGAUGUAUCACUGUUGGAAAUAGAAGUGAAACUGAAGGAUGAAGAUUCUCAUGAAAAUUUGAUCUAUCCAUUGAAAACAGCAUUAUAGAACAAUAGUAUGGGUUAUAACUUGGCUGGACUGGACAUGGCACAAACA
rnacentral:sRNA from 1 species